GUGAUACUCCCUCCGUCCAACAAAGGAUUUCUCAACUUUGACUAAAUUUGAAUGCAUCUAUACACUAAGUUAUGUCUAGAUACAUUCAAAAUUUGACAAACUUGAGACAUCUUUUGUUGGACGGAGGGAGUAUGAU
rfam:Brachypodium distachyon strain Bd21 chromosome 2, whole genome shotgun sequence.